rnacentral:misc_RNA from 1 species
CAACAGUAUAUUUCAGAUAAUUAUCAAGACAUUGAAAAUAUGUAGUUUAAAAUCCAGUUGCACCAAGGCAAUAGAACACUGGCACUGUGUCAAGUGUCGACGACUAAGAGAAAAAUAUUCAACCUAAAAUUAUUUUCUAUAUACACGGAAUGAUAUUCCGAAGAAGAGUAUUCAACCGACUACCCUUCGGUCUAUGUAGCUCCGACACUGGCUAGGGGACAUAUUGACACGGAUAUGUUUAACAUAAGACAAUGACGGAACGGUAAGAGUGACAGUAAUGCUACAGUUAAAGUUGGUCUGAAGCGACUUUCACCACAGAGUGGACGCAUUUCAGCGGCAUCAGAUGUCCCUUAAAGCUUUGAGGCAGUAGCUGUUGUUCUGCUCAAGGCAAUGGCAGCCUUAGAUCCAGAAGGGCGACCCAAAUGUUUGCAGAUGAAAUCUCCAGCCAAUAGAAGCUUUCUCAGAUCCACAUUUGUCUUCACUCCUAGUCCAUUGAGCAUGUAAAUGACAUCCUCCGUAGCCACAUUACCCGAGGCACCUUUGGCAUAUGGGCAACCUCCAAG